AAAGACGAGUAAAUGUUCAGCCUAACACAGAUUCCAACAAAGCAUUUUUUUUUCCCUUAAAAAGCUUCCAGGGGCCCUCAGGAUAAAGUUUCCAGCACAGUGUACGAAACUUUUCUUUUUCUUUCUUUUCUUUUGCUUUGUUUUGGCUACACUACAUGGCUUGUUGGAUAUUAGUUCUCUGACCAGGGAUCAAACCCUGCAGUGGAAGCUUGGAGUCCUAACCAAUGGACCGCUGGGGAAGUCCCUGUACAGCUUUUCAAGACCUGAUCCACCCAGCUUUCCAAAAGCAUCUCCUCCAUCUGCAAGUGGCUCACUGGUAAAGAAGCCUUCUGUCGAUGCAGGAGAUAUGGGUUCAAUCCCCAGAUUGGGAAGAUCCCCUGGAGGAGGAGAUGGCAACCUACUCCAGUAUUCUUGCCUGGGAAAUCCCAAGGACAGAGGAGCCUGGUGG
ensembl:lncRNA